GUCUCGGCAGAUGCCGCCUGGUCCAGCUAUCGUGCUCGGUAUUCAGUUUUCCGGGGCAGCGCUCUUUCUCUGGCCCGCGGAGCGGUCCCGCGGCCGAGUACCGGAUUCCCGAGUUUGGGAGGCUCUGCUUUCCUCCCUAGGACCCACUUUGCCGUCCUGGGGUGGCUGCAGUUAUGUCCGCGCUGCGACCUCUCCUGCUUCUGCUGCUGCCUCUGUGUCCCGGUCCUGGUCCCGGACCCGGGAGCGAGGCAAAGGUCACCCGGAGUUGUGCAGAGACCCGGCAGGUGCUGGGGGCCCGGGGAUAUAGCUUAAACCUAAUCCCUCCCGCCCUGAUCUCAGGUGAGCACCUCCGGGUCUGUCCCCAGGAGUACACCUGCUGUUCCAGUGAGACAGAGCAGAGGCUGAUCAGGGAGACUGAGGCCACCUUCCGAGGCCUGGUGGAGGACAGCGGCUCCUUUCUGGUUCACACACUGGCUGCCAGGCACAGAAAAUUUGAUGAGUUUUUUCUGGAGAUGCUCUCAGUAGCCCAGCACUCUCUGACCCAGCUCUUCUCCCACUCCUACGGCCGCCUGUAUGCCCAGCACGCCCUCAUAUUCAAUGGCCUGUUCUCUCGGCUGCGAGACUUCUAUGGGGAAUCUGGUGAGGGGUUGGAUGACACCCUGGCGGAUUUCUGGGCACAGCUCCUGGAGAGAGUGUUCCCGCUGCUGCACCCACAGUACAGCUUCCCCCCUGACUACCUGCUCUGCCUCUCACGCUUGGCCUCAUCUACCGAUGGCUCUCUGCAGCCCUUUGGGGACUCACCCCGCCGCCUCCGCCUGCAGAUAACCCGGACCCUGGUGGCUGCCCGAGCCUUUGUGCAGGGCCUGGAGACUGGAAGAAAUGUGGUCAGCGAAGCGCUUAAGGUUGGAGGGGGCCUGAGUAUGGGCAGGGCCCAGGGAGGGAGAGGCGGAAGUGAGAGAGACCCCACAAGGAAGAAACAGCCACCAGCCAGCAGGACAAGCCUUGGGCUCUGUCUGCCUCCAGGCCCUGGUGUCCUAGGAUGAAUUAGGAAGGAGGGGGCUGGAGUGAAACCUCCAAUGGUCCACGAUCCAUGAUCUCUGACCCCCUCCUCCCCUCCGUGGACCCAUACCCUCUUCAGUCCCCAAGGGCCUGCUCAUCUCCAUAGCAGUAGGAGAUUGGUACUGCCCCCGCCCAACCCCCCAGGAUCCCUCAAUGACUCCACUUCCUUGCUGCUGAAGGCCAGAUGCCUGGCUUGGCCUCUCUCACUGCCCAUCCUCUACCUGACCUCCCAGCCUCACCUUCUGCCUCCUGACUGCCUCCUCCCUCCCCAGCUGUGAUGGGCUCACUCUUGUCCUUGAAUGUUCCCUCCACCCCUAACUGCCUCUCUAUUUCCACCCCUCCCACGAAUCAGAGUCAGCAACCUGGAACCUCCCUCCUCAGAUCUGUGACAGUCUCACCUGCUGCCACGUGGGGUCACCAACCCUAGGUGUAGGGUGGGGUAUGUGAUUUCUGUCUGUGCCCAGCCAGGCUGAGAGCAGCCACAACGUUUGUGGAGGACACAGCCCCACUCUCUGCCCCCAGGUGCCGGUGUCUGAAGGCUGCAGCCAGGCUCUGAUGCGUCUCAUCGGCUGUCCCCUGUGCCGGGGGGUCCCCUCACUUAUGCCCUGCCAGGGCUUCUGCCUCAACGUGGUUCGUGGCUGUCUCAGCAGCAGGGGACUGGAGCCUGACUGGGGCAACUAUCUGGGUGAGGGGAUUCAAGAAAGCCUGGAGCCAGGCAUGGUGGCUCACACCUGUAAUCACAGCACUUUGAGAGGCUGAGGCAGGAGGAUCACUUGAGGCCAGGAGUUGGAGCCCAGCUGGGGCAACAUAGCUAGACGCCAUCUCAAGAAAGAAAGAAAGAAAGAGAGAGAGAAAGAAAGAGAGAGAGACAGAGAAAGAAAGAAGGAAAGAAGGAAGGAAAGAAAGAAAAAGAAAGAAAGAAAAAAAAGAAAGAAAUCAGCCAGGCAUGGUAGUGCCCGCGCCUGUAGUCCCAGUUACUCCUGAGGCUGAGGCAGGAGGAUCACUUGAGGCCAGGAGUUGGAGGCCAGCCUGGGCAACGUAGCUAGACCGCAUCUCUACC
rnacentral:sRNA from 1 species